rnacentral:rRNA from 1 species
AAGUGGGGGACCUUCGGGCCUCACGCCAUCAGAUGUACCCAGAUGAGAUUAGCUAGUAGGUGGGGUAAUGGCUCACCUAGGCUAUGAUCUCUAGCUGGUCUGAGAGGAUGACCAGCCACACUGGAACUGAGACACGGUCUAGACUCCUACGGGAGGCAGCAGUGGGGAAUAUUGCACAAUGGGCGCAAGCCUGAUGCAGCCAUGCCGCGUGUAUGAAGAAAGCCUUCGGGUUGUAAAGUACUUUCAGCAAGAAAGAAAGUAUUUUAGUUAAUAACUAAAAUAAUUGACGUUACUUGCAAAAGAAGCACCGGCUAACUCCGUGCCAGCAGCCGCGGUAAUACGGAGGGUGCGAGCGUUAAUCGGAAUUACUGGGCUUAAAGCGUACGUAGGCGGUUAAUUAAGUUAGAUGUGAAAUCCCCGAGCUUAACUUGGGAAUUGCAUUUAAAACUGGUUAGCUAGAGUCUUGUAGAGGGGGGUAGAAUUCUAGGUGUAGCGGUGAAAUGCGUAGAUAUCUAGAGGAAUACCAGUGGCGAAGGCGGCCCCCUGGACAAAGACUGACGCUCAGGUACGAAAGCGUGGGGAGCAAACAGGAUUAGAUACCCUGGUAGUCCACGCCGUAAACGAUGUCGACUUGGAGGUUGUGCCCUUGAGGUGUGGCUUCCGGAGCUAACGCGUUAAGUCGACCGCCUGGGGAGUACGGCCGCAAGGCUAAAACUCAAAUGAAUUGACGGGGGCCCGCACAAGCGGUGGAGCAUGUGGUUUAAUUCGAUGCAACGCGAAAAACCUUACCUACUCUUGACAUUCAGAGAAUUUGCUAGAGAUAGCUUAGUGCCUUCGGGAGCUUUGAAACAGGUGCUGCAUGGCUGUCGUCAGCUCGUGUUGUGAAAUGUUGGGUUAAGUCCCGCAACGAGCGCAACCCUUGUCCUUUGUUGCCAGCACGUAAAGGUGGGAACUCAAAGGAGACUGCCGGUGAUAAGCUGGAGGAAGGUGGGGAUGACGUCAAGUCAUCAUGGCCCUUACAAGUAGGGCUACCCACGUGCUACAAUGGCAUAUACAAAGAGCAGCAAACUCGCGAGAGCAAGCGAACCUCAUAAAGUAUGUCGUAAUCCGGAUUGGAAUCUGCAACUCGACUCCAUGAAGUCGGAAUCGCUAGU